rnacentral:lncRNA from 1 species
UCCUGGAACUAAUUAAAGACAUCCUUGUCGUGAUCAUAUGGCUUGUUCUCUAUGACCUACAAUAUAAAACAAUAACUAUUAUAGAGGAAAUAUGAAACUAAUUUAAAAAAAAACCCAACAAAGAUCCUUAAACGACCUAUUAAUCCACCGUAUUCAAUAAUAAACAAGAUUAAGAUUGAAAACUAUGUGGCAGAUAAGUUCAUUAUACCUUCUCUGUUAGAAGCACCCUUAAUUACAACUUUUGUUUUUGACUUAAAAAUAUUUCAACUCUUGCCUAGGUUUCAUAUAACUGAAUAGUUGCAAAAAAUGGAUUACACAAUCUGGUGACUCAAUUCAACAUUGAGAAAAUUGUACGGAAAAAAACUGGCGACUCAAUUCAAAAUUGAGAAAAUUACACGUAAAAAAAACUUAAUGUCAUGCUAUAUGUAUAUAAUUACAAGCAUUCAUCUAAUAAUAAAGAAUGUGUACAGUUUAAUUUUGUCGCUAACCUUACUAAUAUAAGAUGGGGUACCCGCUUCAGCAACAUCAACUGUUACAUGACCUUGACAAUGGGAUCACACUGGAAACGACAGAUAUACAGUUUAAUAAGGAUUUGUUUCUGACACGCCACAUGCAAUGUUUGACAAUCUCCCAAUUUGAGUGAAAAAAUACAAUUCAAGUACAAGUUUCAUGUAAUAUAUUUAUAAAACACAUACCUCUAUAUAGUACGCUGGUCCCAUAAGCCUUGGUGAUGCCAUUAGAUUCAUGAAGGCGGCCACAUGGCUGACAAUGAGAAUGAUCUCACCAGUAUGUGCAAUAGCAUAUUAGGUCUAUGCAAAUAAAACAAAAAGACAGAAUUUCUCACAAUAACAACUAGGAAGUAUGAAUCCACCACAUAUCAAUAGCUGAAAACAUAUCCAAAAAUACCAACAGUUAAAAAACACAUACUGUUGCCAACAGUUAAAGCCCAAGGAAUAUCGCAGAAAAAGUGAAAAAAACUAAAGUACUUAAUUAAUGCAAAUUACUUAAUAAAAGCUGUCUACCUGGAGCUCUCCAAUGCCAGGAUAUCUUCAAUCUAACUUUCCACAAGGACCUAAUCAAAACUUCAAUCUCAGAGAUGAAUCCAUUCUCGAAGAACUCACUGAAUUUUACUUGGAAGCUUCUUAUGUUGUCAAAGUAAACCUAGAUGAAGUGUCAUAUCCAGAAACAAAUUAUUAUGUGAGAAUAAAAUGGUCCAACAAACUACAACAUAGACAAGGCCUGGUAGUUCGCUGAAGGGGGAGGUCUGAAAGACUAUUGCUAUAUAUAUGUUGGGUCUCUCAGCAGCGACAAUACAUAGGGAGCAAGAGAGUUACCUGGCGCCACAAGCAGCAGUAGUCCAAAAGCUCCCAGCAGCAGUACAAGCAUUCUGCAGGUUUGGUUAGAGUGUUUCCUGGGCUUUCUGUUUAUUUGCAGCUUUGCUUGUAUGUGUACACAUGGUAUGAGUAGAAGUAGAAUAUUAGGGUGGAAUGUUAUAUAUCUCAAUCUCAAUGUGAGACAUAACUUGUAUAUAUAAUGAAAGAAGUGUGUUAGACAAGUCACUACUACUAGUAGUGUGUUAGACAAGUCACUACUAUUACAAUACUCCCCCUCAAGCUGGUGCGAAGAUAUCGCGAAGACCCAGCUUGCGAAUAAAAAUUUGAAGAUCAGUAGGACCCACUGAUUUCGUGAGAGGAUCAGCAAUUUGUGCCUUCGUCCCAACAAAGGAUGGAGACACGAUACCAGAACGAACCUUCUCUCUCAAGAAAUGCACAUCGAUCUCAAUGUGCUUUGUCUUCUCAUGAAGGACAGAAUCCGAAGCUAAGUAAAGUGCAGAUUUACUAUCACAAUGAAGAAUAGAGGAUCCAGUCUGUGUAAAACCCAACUCUCCGAGAAUAGAGCGAAGCCACAUAAUCUCACAAGUGCCUAAUGCUAAAGCACGAUACUCUGCCUCAGACAAUGACCGAGAGACAACUGAUUGCUUCUUGCUUUUCCAUGUUAUAAGAUGAUGUCCACGAAAAGCACAGAAGCCAGUAGUAGAACGACCGUCAAUGGAGCGACCAUAAUAAUCUGAGUCAGUGUAACACUCCAGGGGACCCUGUGGUCCAGAUACAUAAAACAAACCUAAGCCAGGACACGAUUUCAGGUACAUGAGAAUAUGAUCAACGCAUCCAUGUGAGACUGACAAGGUGCAUGCAUAAACUGACUCACUCUACUCACGGUAAAGGUUAUGUCCGGCCUGGUAUUAGACAAAUAGAUCAAGCGUCCAACAAGACGCUGGUAGGCUGAUGGAUCUGGUAGAGGCGCUCCGGCAUUGGCAACUAACCUGCUGUUAGGAACCAGAGGAGUAAAAGUUGGACGACAACCUAACAUCCCCGUGUCGCUCAAGAGAUCUAGAACAUACUUUUGCUGAGAUAAGGAGAUACCCUUAGGACUACGAGCAACCUCAAUGCCCAAGAAGUAGCGUAGAGGACCGAGGUCCUUGACCUCAAAGGAUUUCCCUAGGGAUUCCUUAAGUUGUACAAUGCCUGCAAUGUCAUCUCCAGUGAGAAUAAUGUCAUCCACAUACACAAGAAGAUAUAUACGACCCCCUGACUUAUUCCUGACAAAGACCGUAUGAUCAGAAUGACACCUGAAGAACCCAUGUUGAAGAAUAACCUCAGAAAAUUUACAGAACCAGGCACGCGGUGACUGCUUAAGCCCAUAUAAGGACUUACGGAGGCGACAAACCUUCCCAACAUACUCCCCGACAUGACGAAAACCUGGUGGAGGAUCCAUGUAAAUAACCUCAUCAAGAUCACCAUUAAGGAAAGCAUUCUUCACAUCUAACUGAUGAAGGGGCCAAUCAUAUGAUGCUGCAAGGGAGAUAAUGAGUCGAACAGAGUUCAACUUGGCUACGGGAGCAAAUGUAGCUCCAAAGUCCCGACCAGGAACUUGUGUAAAGCCUUUGGCAACAAGACGCGCUUUAUAUCGUUCAACUAUACCAUCGGCUAAGAACUUCACAUUAAAAACCCAUUUGCACCCAACGGUGCGUUCCUUAAGAGGUAAAGGAACCAACUCCCAAGUCUGAUUCUGCUCAAGUGCAACCAUCUCAACCUGCAUAGCUGCUAUCCAAUGAGGAUUCUCCAUAGCCUCACCUACAAUUCUAGGAAUCCGAAUUGAUGAAGUAGAAGUAACAUAUGCCUGAUAGUUAUCAGACAAGCCCUGAUAAGAGACAUACUGAGCAAUAGGAUGGUCAGUAGAAAAACCCAACCUAUUCGAAGGAUUUCGAACCCUGGGAGGAUAACGGGGUUCAGGGACAUGAACAAGGGGGUUCUUGAUGGACACAAUAUCAGUACCAUUAGUGGAAACAAUAGGAAUAUCAUUAGAAAUAACAGGAGGAACAACAAAAGGAGUAUCACUAUUAGGAAGAGGAAUGUUACCUGAAGCGGGUGGCAAGGUGUAAGGAUGAGCGUGGGAGCGACGAGUAUAAACCUGGAAGGGUUUAGGAAUAGGGGACAUCAGAGGAGUAGGAAAGACAGGUAUAGAGCAAACAGCGGAAGACUCCUCCUCCGAUGGUAACAAGUUUUCCUGCAAAGAGAUAGAAGAUCCAAAAAAGGAAACAUGCUCGGCAAAAGUAACAUCCAAGGUAUGAUAAACACGACGACUAGAGGGAUUAUAACAUCGAUAUCCCUUAGAAAGGGGAGAGUAACCAACAAAAAUACACCGAAUGGACUUGUCAUCAAGUUUAGUGCGGGAUGGACUUUUAUCAUGAACAUAACAAACACAUCCAAACACCUUGGGAAUAAUUGGGAAAAGAACACGACUAGGGUAGACAAGCUGGUGAGGGGUUUGACCAUGGAGAAUCCUACUGGGAGUGCGAUUUAAAAGAUAGGCAGCAGUAAGAACAGCAAAAUGCCAAUAGGACUGAGGGACAUGCAUUCCUCUCAACAAGCAACGAACGACACCCAUGAGACUCCUAUUUUUCCUCUCAGCAACACCAUUUUGUUCGGGUGUAUAAGGACAAGUGAGUUGCUGAAGGAUACCUUGUUGGCUAAGACGACUGACAAACUCAUUAGACACAUACUCCUUAGCAUUGUCUGAGCGAAGAGCUUUAACCACCACAUUAAACUGAGUUUUGAUGAGUUGGAGAAACUGUGUAAACAAGGGAAGAACAUCUGACUUUUGGCGAAGUAAAUAAACCCAAGUACACUUAGUGUAAUCAUCAAUAAACCUAACAUAAUACCUAUGGCCUGAUAAUGCAGUAACAGGUGAAGGACCCCAAACAUCAGAGUGAAUUAAAUCAAACAUAGCAGGUGAUCGAUGCAUUCGUGGAAUAUAAGAAUUUCUAACAUGCUUCGAUAAGGAACAAGUUUCACAAUGAAAAGUAGAAUUUUUGCAUGCUUUCAUUAAUUCCGGAAAAAGACUACACAAAUACUGGAAGUUAACAUGACCUAAUCGGGCAUGCCAGGUUUUCACAGACUCCAAACUAAACACAUAAUGUCCUGACUCGGGCAAGACGUUAACAUGCAGACUCGAAACAGUAGAAGGUGGAACCGGUGGGGGAUCACCAAAAUAGUACAACCCAUCGCGCUCAUACCCCCUGCCAAAAAUCCGCUUCGUACUCAGGUCCUGAAGAUAACAAGAAUCAGGUAAGAAUACAACAGCACAAUGAAGAGCUAUAGCAAGGCGACUAACUGAUAAAAGAUUUAGAGCAAAACGGGGAACAUGCAAUACAGACUCUAAAGUAAUUUGAGGAGACAAAUGAACAGUGCCCUUACGAGUAAUAGAGUUAUACGAGCCAUCAGCAAUGCGAACAUGAUGAGAAAAAGGGGUAUGCUUAGUCAAUAAACUAUACUCACCAGUCAUAUGCUCAUUGGCCCCUGAAUCAAGGAUCCAAGCAGGAGGUGUAGAACCAAAACUAACAUGGAAAGCAAAAGGUAUACCUAUAGCUGUAGGCAUGGUAGUAGACCCUGGUUUUCCCUCCCGGAGGAAAAAAAGAACCUCAUCUAAUCGCUGACUCAAAGAACCUGAAUCAGUAGGAACUCCCCUUGAAGCAGAACUGCUAGGAACCUCAGAAAUGGCAGCAGUACGAGGUUUACCACCACCUGAUUUUCCAGACCCCUUCUUUGGCCUAAGUUCUGGAUGUAGUUGAUAGCACGUUUGUCGAAAAUGGCCAUCAGCCCGGCAGUGAUCACAGUAUGGUCGAUUACGACCAGUAGUACAACCAGAUUGUGCAUUAGCACUAGGGGCUCCUGGCAGGCCCUGAGAAUACUGAGGUGUUGGAGGAUGAUAUUUGGCUACAAAGGCCAUCUGAUCAGCUGAAGAUGGUGUGUCAGAAACUACCAAAGGAACUGUGAUCCGUGUACGACGCUCAUGUUUCUCAAUCACUGCAUAGGCCUCCCCAAGAGUUGGAAGAGGUGUAGUGUUAAGGACUUGAGUACGAAUGGCUUCAAAGUCAGGAUGAAGACCAAUGAGAAACUGAUGAACUCUUUGUUUUUCUUCCCGUUUGUGGAUAGCAGAAGCGAUAGUUGAAGUCAUACCUAAAAUGCUAGACAAAGCGGUAUAGAUAGCAAGCUCUUCCCAACGUUUUUUCAAAUACCCAAAGUAGGUAGUAACAAACAUUGAACCCUGAGAAACUUGGCCUAAUUCACGGUACAACUCAUAUACCCGAACCUCAUUGUUCGUGGUAGCAUACAUCUCAGAUAAAGCAGCCCACAAACUCUCAACAGAAUCAUAGAAUGUGAAUAACUCGUAUAUGUCAGGUUCCAUAGAGUUAAAAAACCAACCAAGAAUCAUGCAGUUGGUCAUAAACCAAGUAGAAUAAGUUGAAUCAGCCUCAGAUGGACAAGGUAUCUUCCCUAGAACCAACCAAUCAAUCUUAUUUCUAGCACCCAAGAACAAACGAACAUAACGUGACCACGAUGAAAAAUUACGCCCAUUUAGAAGAAUGGUUGUAAUCUUCUGAGUAGACUGAAUGUUGGGUAAACCAGAGUCAGUUUCCAUAGCCUUAGUGGAUGGCAACUCAGCAGAAGACGGAAGAAACAGUGGAGGUAGUCACGGUGGGAGACGAACACCAGUUGAUACCCUUAGCAACAAGGAUGACUACCAACAAAGGAAGCUGUCUGCAGGGAUGUCCUGCUGCAGACACGGUGAAGGAAGAGCAGGGAUUACCAGCUGCUCAUAGAAGAAAGAAGCCCGAAGGCAAGGUGGUAAUGGUGAUGGUAGCGGUGGUGGUGGUGGCGGCUUGGGUUUAGGUUUUGUUGACGGUUGGGUGUUGUUUCUACAAACCUCUGAUACCAAGUAGAAGUAGAAUAUUAGGGUGGAAUGUUAUAUAUCUCAAUCUCAAUGUGAGACAUAACUUGUAUAUAUAAUGAAAGAAGUGUGUUAGACAAGUCACUACUACUAGUAGUGUGUUUGACAAGUCACUACUAGUAGUGUGUUAGACAAGUCACUACUACUAGUAGUGUGUUAGACAAGUCACUACUAUUACAAUAGUAUGUAAAGGUGGGGUUGGGAAUGGGACUCUGUAUAUACAAGGAAAUGUCUUUGGGGGUGUAAUCUGAUGAUGCAGUCCUUGCAUGCUGAUCAAAUAUUGUAAGCCUGGUUUUUCUUUAGUAAUACAUAUACUACUUUUAUCAAAAAUAAAUAAAGCUUUGUAACAACAAUCCUACUGUAACUUUGACAUGUACUUUUAAGGAGUGGUGGAAUAUUAUGUUGUCUUCUUCAAACAUAAACCUAAUAACACAUCGAUUUAUUUUUGGUCAAAUUAUUGAAAUUGAACAACGUUUGCAAAACAUUUCAAUUCUAACAAUGUAUUGCAAAACAUGACAACCAAGUGGAUUUUCUUUACACCCGAUAACAACAAUGAUUUCUCCGGUACCUGAAGCCGGUGACAUGUCUACGUGGCCUUUAAAAAUAGAUGACAUGUCAAUAAGAAAUAAGUAAAAAGACACAUCAUCCUAACAUGUGCACUGCACGUGGGGUUUUAUGCAUGUGCUCAGCACGUGUAUCUAAACAACAAAACCUAAUCGAAAUAAUCUAAGUCCAAAACAUUGUUGUCAUCUGUACCCUACCAGUCGUCUUCUUCUCCAUCUACCCUACCACUUCUCUGCAACUUAGAAGAUGGGGACUAACAACCAAUCAUCCAAAGACAAAGACAAGGACAAGGACAAAACAACAAAUGAUGAUGAUAAUUUAAAGGCAGUCGGAGAUUUUGAAAAAGCUAGUGGAACAGUGAAGGAUUUCAUCAAAGCUAUGUGUAAGUGAUCUUUAACUUUUAAAUUUGAUUCUUUUCAUAACAUGGUGGGGUUUAGAUUCGAUUCUUUAAAUAAAAUGCAAGUCUUGUACCUUCUAUAUCUAGGGUUUCUCAAAUUAGGGUUUUUUUAAAAAUUUUGGGGUUUUCAGUUAUAGUAGAAUAUUGAUGUAAUUGAUUCUAUCAAAGAUAAUAAUCCAAGAAUUACAAUAGAAUAUUGAUGUAAUUUCAUUAAUGGUAUCAUAUUUUAUUAUCAAGUUAAGGUUUUCUGUGAAUGUUUAAUGAAAAAUUGGGGGUUUCUCACUUAUAGUAUAAUAUUAAUGAAAUUGAUUACUUCAAAUACAUUAUUAAAGCAUAUUAAUAUUGUAAAGCAUGCAAUUGUAUACUUUAACUUAUGAGUUUUCAGUUAUAGUAGGUUUUAAAUUAUGUUUUUUUUUUUUUUUUUUUUUUUUUUUUUUACUUUUUAGUUCCAGAACAAACAAGAACUAUUGAAAUCAUCAUGGUGGUACAUUCAUUACAAAGCCUUACUUGCAUUAUGCCAAAGGGAAGUGUACUCAUUAUCCAAAUAUCCCUACUGGGAAGUUUACUUAUGAUAAUCUGUUGGGUGUACUAGAAAGGGAUUUGGGAUACACUAAUGUGACUAAUAUGCAUUAUGUACUUCCUUACCAAACAUUAGAAUGUGGUCUGAAGAUAAUUGUAGAUGAUGACAGUCUCAAGAAGUUGUUAAGAGGGUCUAUCUUCCAUGGAUAUAUAAUCAUAUACACUGAGCACUCUGAAGAUAAUGAAGACAAUGCAGAAAUCACUGAAGAUAGUGAAGAAAAAAGUGAUAGUGAAGAACAAAGUGGCAGUGAUGAAGACUGUGAAGAAGGAAGUGACAAUGAAAACAAUGUAGACAAUGAAGAUAUUGAUCGAGAAAGUGAACAAGGAAGUGACAGUCCAAGUGCAACUAAAAAAGAUAAACAAAAAAGAGUUGAACAAAAGAAUAACAAUGUUACACCAAACUGGUUUAACUGUGAUAAUAGAGAUUAUUUUGAAGACUGGCAUGAGAGUGGCAGUGAUUAUGAAGGAGAUGAGAGUGAGGUUGCCAGUAUUGAGAAUGUCAGUGAUGAUGAAGUUAGACAAGUUAGGAUUGAGAAACAAGCUAGCAUGGUUAGUGAAAGAAAAUAUAUGAACAAGAGGAUGGUCUGUCAAACUGGAUCGAGGCUAAAGGUAUGAAGGGAGGUAAUGAUAACAACUUCAAGGACACUGAAGAAUAUGAUGAAAAUAUUGAUUAUGACUCACCUAUAGGAUCUGAAAAAGAAGAUGAAGAAUUUGUAAGAAAGAAGGUUGCAAUUCUUCAUGUUAACACUAAGGGUGAUUGUUUUGGUUAUGUUCCAAUUGCAGGACACAAGUUUGCAACUCUGGACAAGCUGAAGAAAUGUUUAAUAGGUUAUAGUAUUGGCAAGGGGUAUGACAUUGGCUUUCCUAGGAGAAACCCUACUCAAAUGCAGGCUUGGUGCUGUAAAGGUGAGUGUCCUAGGAGAUUGUGGGCUAGUUAUGACACUGAAAACCAGUGUUUCAAGGUUAAGACAAUGAAUACAGAGCACAAGUGUAAGAAGUCUUCUAACUACACUGCAUUCACUGCACCUUUUUUGGCAAAACUCUACCAUGAUAGGAUCCUUAGUAAUCCAACAUGGAAACUUGAAGAAUUUCACGCUGAUGUUUUGGCAACUUAUCAACAAGAGGUUUCAAUUGUACAAUGUUGCAGAGCAAGAGCAAUGGUUAAAGGGGAUAUAGAGGUCACUUUGAAGAACCAUUAUACUGAGCUAUGAAUUUAUGGAGCAGAGCUUGUACAGCUGAAUCCUAAUGGUACUUUUGAAAUUACUAUUGAAGACUGCUAGAGAGUGAGCCACCUUCAGAGACAAAUCCAGCAUACUUGAAGGGUUUUUAUGUUUGUUAUGAAGCUUGUAAAGAAGGUUAGAAAAGGGGAUGCAGGCCAAUUAUAGGGGUUGGUGGAUGUUUCUUUAAAGGAUAUGUGAAAGGGGAGUUGCUUACUGCUAUUGGUAGGGAUGGGAACAAUCAAAUGUUCCCAAUUGCAUGGGCUGCAGUUAAUAAGGAGAAUGCAGAUACUUGGUCUUGAUUUCUGAAGAAAGUGUUAGCUGACUUGAACAUUUCUGAAGGGCAAUUCAAGGAAAGGGACUUACAAUCAUCAGUGAUCAACAGAAGGGGUUGGCAAAGGCUGUGAAUGAUCUGAUACCACAUGCUGAACACAGAGAAUGUGCAGGACACAUUUAUUGUAAUUUUACUAAGAGAUAGACAACUUACAGUCUAUAAGGGUAAGUUAUAUUAGGGUAAGUUAAAUUAGGGUUUAUAUUAGAGAUGGAGGACAUGGUGUGUUAAAUCUUCCAAAUGGAGAGAAAUAUAUAAGGGUAAGUUAUAUUAGGGUUUGCGGCAAUAUUUUUAUAGUGAACACUCAAGUAAUUUUUUGACAUUGGUUUUUAUGUCAUAGAUGGGGACUAAGAGAGGAAAAUAUAUCCCACCACAGGAAGAAAUGUUUAUAGACAAUGGACCUCUUGGCUCCCAAUCCUCCACUCCAGCAUCCCCUCAAAUUCCUACACAAGAAAGUGCAGCUGCAAGUGUACAGUUGAGAAGAUCUCCAAGGAAAAGAAAAAAAUCCUGAAGAACCUUCAACUCAAGAGAGUGCACUGAGGAGAAGAUCAUCAAGGAAGGAAGUACCUAUAGUUGCUGCAAAUGUUUCUAAGGAAUCUAAGGGUAAGGCACCAGCUGAAAAAAAAACCCAAAAACUCAAGAGCUGCCACCUCUACCAACUGAAAAAAAACCCAAAAACUCUUGGUGUCAAAACUAGGAGUUUUAUGAACAAGGGUGGGAUUUUUAUGGGGUGAAAGGAGCAGUUGUUUUAUGACUUUUGUAAUUGCAGACUUUUGUGUAAGGAUGUGUGGUGCAUUUUAUUGUUUUUUGUAGACUUUAGUCUGAGAAUGUGUGGUGAAAUUUUUUUUUUUUUGGAGACUAGUUUGUAUGUUGGACAAGGUCUAAUCAAUGUGAUGCGAGGACGCCUAUUGAUGAACAUGUGCAGAGCACAUGAUUCAAUUCCUACAUGAGUUUCUAUUUUGAUUCCUAUUCUUAAUAGGAUUUACUAUUACUUAGUUUCUAUUUUGUUUUAAGUUCCUAGACUAAGUAGUUUUUUUAGUUUAGUUAGGAUUAGGUUUAGGCUAUUAUAAAUAGGGGAUUGCAAACCUUAUUAAGUAGGUGAGAUUGAAGAUUUGUUUAUGUCUUGAGACAUUAAAUUCGUUUUUGUGAAGAACCCUAGUUUUUGGGUGUUCAAACCAUUUAUUUAAUUGGUGUUCUUAUUAUUGUUUGCUUCCGCCGAUAGUAUUACAUCAAAAUUGGUAUCAGAGCUUGUUUUUUCUGGGUUUAGAAGAUUAACAAUCUGUUUUUUUUCUUCUUCAAGAGCCAUUUAUUUCUUUGGAUAUUCACAAUGGUAAACCAAGGGAAUAGAAGAGGCAGACCCCCAACCAUGACCACUCGCGUUGCUCGCAUUGAAGACACCUUGACAGAGAUGAUGAAGAUGAUGUCCACGCUUGUUGUAGCUCCUCAACCACCACUGCAAACUCUUGACAACAGUUCUGCUGGUGAGAGCAAUGAGGUUGAUGAUCCUAGACCAACCCAUGAAUCAGAAAGAAGUUCUGAUGAUGAACAGCGCAGUCGACGUCCCCUCUCCCUUCCUCUUGUCUUAGAAGAUGAUUCUGAAUCACGUCAGAACCGUAUUCAUGCUUGGCUUCAUGAACGAGAUGGUGAAUUUAAAGGAAAUUGUAGUCUUAACGGUGCUAAAAAUCAGCAAGUUAGAGCUGAUAUUCGACGACCAGCACAAGUGGUGAAUCAAGGCCAUCUUAGGGGUCCACAUGUUGAUCCAGGUUGAGUACUUCCACUUAAGGUGCGAAGGCAGCAGCAGCAGCAACCACAAGAACGUGUUCUUCGUGGUCAACAACAAGAUAUUCCAAGAAGAAAUCAGCAGCAGCGAAAUCGCAGAGCCGCAUCUCCUCCCCGUUUGCUUAGGAAUCAUGCAAAUUUGCAUCCCAAUAGAGAUCUGGAGCAAAGAGAUUUCUCUCUUGUUCGACGUAGAGGUAAUAACGGGCAGAAUCAGGUCAGGAACCAUCAUAAUACUCCACCUCGUCAGCAUCGACAUGCACCCAAGCAGGCAGCUCGUGCUUAUGAUCCUCCUGAUCCGUCAGAUUCUAAUUCAAGUACUUCCCCACCUAGGCGUCCUAAUCAUAAUCAUCAUCCCCAUCAAAAUCAGCAACGCUGGAAUCAUGGCAACGAUGAAGGUAACUUUAAUCUUAACCGUUUUUUGCGAAUUCUAGAACGUAAUCAAAAUGGUGAUAUUAAACUUGAUGUUCCCGAGUUUAAUGGUAAAUUACACCCGGAUGCUUUUGUUGAUUGGCUCAAUAAGAUUGAAAAGGUUUUUUAUUACAAAAAUUUAGAGGAUCCGAAACGUGUUAAGUUGGUUGCUACUAAACUGACUGGUUAUGCGUUAGUAUGGUGGGAUGAGUUGCAAAAGAGUCGAGAAAGACAAGGUUAUAAACAAAUCACUACUUGGGACAAGAUGCUUCGUGAAUUAAAGUUUGAAUUCAUUCCUCAUGACUAUGAGUGAGAUUUAUUCAUGAGACUUCACCACUUGAAACAAAGACUUCGAAGUGUGACUGAUUAUACUGAGGAGUUCCUUUUGUUGUCUACUCGUGCUGAUUUAACAGAAACUAUGGAACAGAAGUUUGGGAGAUAUAUGGAUGGUUUGCGAAAAUCUAUUCCGCAAAAUUUAGCAUUUAAGGAUAUUUAUGAUCUUUCCGAUGCCAUUAAAUAUGCUCUUAAAGCCGAAGAAUUACACAAAGCAGUGUCUUCUAGUACUUCUACUCCGAUUGAUUCUUCUUCAAAGCAUAUUGUUACAUCAUCCGGUAUGACGUGUUAUAAUUGCAAAGAGGUUGCUCAUCGUGUUAGUGAGUGUCCUAAGAAGAAACGUGUUGGUUUAACACAAGAUGAUAAUGGUUCUAUCGAUCCACUUGCAGAAGCGGAUGGUAUUUUGACACCGGCUGAUUCAGGUUGUCCUAUGCUAUUGCUUGAGCGAUUUUGUGACAAUCCUGAACUACCUCGAGAUACUCGUCUUUUGCUUUUCGAUGAGUCCGGUUCUCCAUUGUUUGUGAUUCGCCGUUCUCUCAUUACUCCAGUUCCUGCUGAGGAUCCUAACAAAUGGCUUCGUCACAACAUUUUUCACACUCGUUGCACCUCUAUGGGUCGAUUGUGUAGUUUGAUCAUUGACAGUGGUUCGGCUGAAAAUAUAGUAUCUAGUGACAUGGUUGACAAAUUAAAAUUUAAGGUGGAGCCUCACCCCGAGCCUUUUCACGUUAAGUGGCUAAGCAAAGGUACUGAAGUAAAGGUUAAUAAGAGGUGCUUAGUUCCUUUCUCAGUUGGUAACUAUAAAGAUGAAGUGUGGUGUUCUAUUGUUCCUAUGGAUGCGUGUCAUGUGCUUUUGGGGCGACCUUGGCAAUAUGAUUUGAAGGCGUAUCAUGACGGAUACAAAAACACUUAUUCCUUUUAUUUUCAUGGUGAGAAGAUUACUUUGACUCCGUUAGCUCCAGUAAGAUCUACUCUUCCUUCCCAAUCAUCGGUUUCUUCUUCACCUCCUGUGAAGUCUAGUUUUCUUACCGGGGGACGCGAGGCAGGUAUGAUUUAUGUUCUUGUUGAUUCAUUUUUGACAAGUCCUAUUGUUAUACCUCCUGUUUUGCAACCUUUAUUGGAUAGUUAUUCUGAUGUUUGUUCUGAGCCUAUUGGUGGGGAACUACCUCCACUGAGAGAUAUUCAGCACACUAUUGAUCUUGUGCCGGGAGCUCCUCUCCCUAAUUUGCCCCAUUAUCGCAUGGCUCCUUCUGAGCAUACCGAAUUACAAUGGCAGGUGGCAGAUUUACUAGCUAAAGGUUUUGUUCGUGAAAGCAUGUCCCCUUGUGCUGUUCCCGCGCUACUCACACCCAAGAAGGAUGGAAGUUGGCGGAUGUGUGUUGAUAGCAAGGCUAUUAACAAGAUCACAGUUAAAUACCGUUUCCCAAUUCCUCGACUAAAAGAUAUGCUUGAUUCUCUACAUGGAGCUAAGGUAUUUACCAAACUCGAUUUGAGGAGCGGAUAUCAUCAAAUUCAUAUGCGUCCUGGUGACGAGUGGAAAACAGCUUUUAAAACCAAGGAUGGUUUAUUUGAAUGGUUGGUGAUGCCUUUUGGGUUGUCUAAUGCUCCAUCUACCUUCAUGCGCCUUAUGACUCAGAUUCUACGACCCUUCCUCAAUAAAUUUGUCGUUGUAUAUUUUGAUGAUAUACUUAUUUAUAGUUCUACUACGGCUGACCAUUUACAUCAUAUUGAGAAUAUAUUGGGCGUUUUGCGUUCUCAGAAGCUUUUCUUACAGCUUAAGAAAUGUUCAUUCUUGGUUGAUUUUGGUGGUCUUCUUGGGAUUUGUUGUAUCUUCUGAGGGUAUUCGAGUUGAUGACUCAAAGGUUCGCGCUAUUCUUGAUUGGCCUACUCCUACUACUACUUCUCAGGUUCGGAGUUUUCAUGGGUUGGCCACGUUUUAUCGGAGAUUCAUUUUAAAUUUCAGCAGUAUUAUGGCUCCUAUUACCUCUUGCAUGGCUGCUGGCCCUUUUGUUUGGACUCCUGCAGCUGAGAAGGCAUUUCAGCUUAUUAAAUCUACGAUGACUACCUCCAGUUUUAGCUUUGCCUGACUUUUCCCAGCUUUUUGAAGUUACUUGUGAUGCUUGUAAGCAUGGUAUUGGUGCUGUCUUAAGCCAAUGGACGACCUGUUGCCUUCUUUAGUGAGAAACUUGACGGAGCUAAACUGAGGUACUCUACUUAUGAUGUGGAGCUAUAUGCAGUUGUUCAAGCCGUUCGAUAUUGGCAUCAUUAUCUUAUUCAUAGAGAAUUUGUUUUAAAGUCUGAUCAUGAGGCUCUCCGUUACAUGAAUACUCAACAAAAGGUUAGUGAUCGUCAUUCGAAGUGGUUUUCCUUUCUCCAGCGAUAUACCUUCCAUUUACAGUUUCAAGCUGGCAAGGAUAACCAGGUGGCAGAUGCUUUGAGUCGUCGUUCUCAUAUCUUGGUUACACUCCGCACCUCUUUAUUCGGUUUCGAUGAGUUACGUGACUUAUAUGCUCAGGAUGUUUACUUUGGCUCUAUUCAUGUGGAUUGUUUGGCCCAUCAUGGGGAAGCUGGUGAUUUUCUCUUACAGGAUGGAUUUCUCUUUCGUGGUUCUCAGCUAUGUAUUCCUGUCUCGUCUCUCCAUGACCAAAUUAUGACUGAAACACAUGCUGGGGGGUUGAGUGGUCACUUUGGAGUGAUCAAAACUAUUGCCUCUAUUCGAGAGAAGUAUUUUUGGCCCACCAUGCGAAGGGAUAUCAAUAAGUUCAUUGCUCGCUGUUAUGUGUGUCAAACAGCCAAAGGCAAGCAAACCAAUGCUGGUUUAUAUACUCCUCUUCCUAUUCCUGAAAAGCCAUGGCUUGAUGUUUCUAUGGAUUUUGUUGUGGAUCUUCCUCGCACUUCUCAUGGUAUGGAUUCAAUUUUUGUGGUGGUAGAUAGAUUCUCUAAAAUGGCACAUUUUAUUCCUUGCACCCGUACUUCCGAUGCUAGCCAUAUAGCUUCCUUAUAUUUCAAAGAAGUUGUUCGUUUGCAUGGUUUACCUCGUUCUAUUACUUCUGAUCGAGAUGCUAAGUUCACUAGCUAUUUUUGGAAGACGUUAUGGAAGCAUCUGAAGUGUCAACUCCGAUUCUCUACAGCUUUUCAUCCGCAAACAGAUGGCCAAACCGAGGUUGUGAACCGUAGUUUGGGAGACUUAUUGAGAUGUCUAAUUGAUAAUACCCCUACAACGUGGGAGUUGGUCUUAUCUCAAGCAGAGUUUGCUUAUGACAACUCAGUUAAUCGCUCCACAGGUCUUUCUCCAUUCAUGAUUGUAAAUGGCAUGACUCCACGCACUACUAUGGACCUUGCUCCACUUCCUCCUACAGUUCCAGUUUGUUCUGAUGCUGAGGCUUUUGCUAAUCAGAUUCAUAACAUUCAUGAGGAUGUCCGUAAACGUUUGGAGAAAUGUUAUGCUUUAUAUAAGGCUCAUGCAGACAAACGGAGGCGUUUGGUGUAAUUUCAGGUUGGUGAUUUGGUAAUGGUCUAUUUGCGCAAAGAACGAUUACGUGAACGUUAUCCCAAGCUACAAAUGAGGCGUUUUGGACCUUUUCCUAUCGUUACGUGUUAUGGUGAUAAUAUGAAGUAGACCUUCCUUCAGAGUGGCGCAUUUCGCGGAGUUUUAAUGUUGCAGAUCUUACCCCUUUUGCUGGUGACAUUGUCCCUCCCAUUCCUUUGCCUUCUGACAUUUCUAGAUUUCCGGCUGCUGCUUCUGAUCAAGUUGAAGGUGUCGUUAAUGUGGCAUCUACGUCUACGCGUCAGGGUACUUAUGAUAGAUUCUUGGUGAAAUGGCGUAACCGUCCGUUUUCGGAGAACACAUGGCUUUCCGAUGCUAGUUUUCAACAACUAGAUCCAGAUUUCUACAGGUGUUAUAUGCAGUCGACCUCGAGGGCGAGCUUUUCACAAGCUGGGGGGAUUGAUGCGAGGACGCCUAUUGAUGAACAUGUGCAGAGCACAUGAUUCAAUUCCUACAUGAGUUUCUAUUUUGAUUCCUAUUCUUAAUAGGAUUUACUAUUACUUAGUUUCUAUUUUGUUUUAAGUUCCUAGACUAAGUAGCUUUUCUAGUUUAGUUAGGAUUAGGUUUAGGCUAUUAUAAAUAGGGGAUUGCAAACCUUAUUAAGUAGGUGAGAUUGAAGAUUUGUUUAUGUCUUGAGACAUUAAAUUCGUUUUUGUGAAGAACCCUAGUUUUUGGGUGUUCAAACCAUUUAUUUAAUUGGUGUUCUUAUUAUUGUUUGCUUCCGCCGAUAGUAUUACAUCACAAUGAAUGAAGUUGUUUCUGCAAUUUAAUUAUAUUGGAUUAUUGGACAAGGUUAUAUUGUGUUUACAGGUCAUGCCAUUGUUUGUCUUCCCAUUUCUGCACUUUUGUAUCAUGUUGAAGUAGUCAAAUUUCAUCCAUUUUGUGUUUCUAAAGUUUUUCAGGUCAUGUUAAAUCUACAGUUUUUCAGGUCAUGUUAAAUCUGCAGUUGUUCAGGUCAUAUAUUGUGUUUCUGCAGUUUUUCAGGUCAUGUUAAAGGAAGACAUUUUUUUCAGGUCAUGUUCACAAAAAGUAUGAAAAAAAGAAUUGAAGUGAAAACAAAAUCAUUUCAUUGAUCGAAAGAAAACAAAAUACAUCAUCUUCUUCAUCAUGACAAAAUAAGAAAAGUAAACAAAAUUCGACAUCUUCUUCAUCAUGAUAGACAAACAUAAUUCAUCCUGAACAUCAUCACUUACAUAAAAACAUGAAAAAAAAUACAAUAAAACCAAUAAAUACAUCUUCCUUCUACACAUCUUCAUUUUUUUUUCCAAUUCCAGUGUCUCUGCAUUUUUUUUCUCUAAUUCCUUCAAAAGCUUCCAGUUCUUCUUCUCUAAAGUUGCUAUCCUGCAUUCCAAGUUUUCAUUUUUGUGCUGCCAAUUUUCUAGUUUCUUUUCGAUGCUCAAUGGUGUUGGUGGGUCAAUCCAACGAAAGUAGUUGCAAUUGUUAUUAGGGUAUUUCCAACAACCAUAAAAUCUCCUUCCAUAAUUCUCAUUAGUAGUAGAAAUCCUUAUUACAGCUUCUUCUCUACAUACAACUUGGGGUAUGUGAAUUAAUUGAAGAAGAAGACAUAAUUGAGGAACUAGGGUUUCUAAUUUGAAAACUAGGGUUUUCAGUUUGGGGAAGAAGACAUAAUUUCGAUCUGAUAGCAAAGAAAUUGUUUUGGACCUAGGUUAUUUCGAUUGGGUUUUGUUGUUUGGAUACACGUGCUGAGCACAUGUCUAAAACCCCACGUGCAGUGCACAUGUUAGGAUGAUGUGUCUUUUUACUUAUUUUUUAUUGACAUGUCAUCUAUUUUUAAAGGCCACGUGGACAUGUCACCGGCUUCAGGUACCAGAGAAAUCAUUGUUGUUAUCGGGUGUAAAGAAAAUCUACUUGGUUGUCAUGUUCUACAAUACAUUGUUAGAAUUGAAAUGUUUUGCAAACGUUGUUGUCAAUUUCGAUAAUUUGACCAUUUAUUUUUUGUUAUCGUUAUCUUCUGUCUCUCAAUCCUCAGACCCAAGUUUUCUUAGAAUAUGGUAUCAAUCUUUCAAUUUUAAAUAGCAAAUCAAACAAAUAACCAUACAAAUUGUUUCAGAUUUUAGCAAAUCUCUCCUUCCUACUAACCUAAAAAAAUAUUUUGAAACUAAUUGAAUGGCUAAAACUGCGGGACAACGGUUUGGGAGCCGGGGGCGGCGCAGUAGGUAGACGGUAAAGUCUCACAUGAAACUGGAUUUGGGUCUACACAUGAAACGGAGACCAUAGGUGUCGAUCAGGACCUGAUGUGUGACUGGGUCCUUGUUCUUACAGUGUAGCAUUAGAUGGCUUUUUCAAUUUCAUUACGAAAAGUCAGGAUUGUGAUUAAUCUUUCACAACCUGACUCCAUUAUGUAAUCUUUCCCAUCGAUAAAGUGAAAGUUAUUAAUAAGCAAACUAGUCGUAAACCAUUUUCAAUCUUGGAUUACCCAAUUUCAUUCUAAUUCCUAACACUAUGUGAUAUGAAUAACAAUAAAAAUUCACGUUUUCUUCUUUUUUGUAAAAAUUUAAUUUUAACAUAAUCAAAUUAUAGAGAAAUCAAAGCCUUGAAUAGAUGGAAUUCAGAUUAUCUAACCUUUCAACCAAGGUUGCAACCCCUAACAGCCGAGAGAAACCGAGAAAACACCCCAGCUUGUUCCAAAUAAACAGAUUCUAUUGACCAGUCAAAAUCAAAAUCCAAACUAGGGUUUAUAUAUAUAGAUAAUUGAGAGAAACAGAGACCAAGUGGUAGGAAGCAUACAAGUAAUCGAGACAGAAGAGUAGGAAAAAGAUGAUAAAGGGUGAGAGAAAGAAUUUCAAACUCAGGGUUCAGAUCAGAUCGAGGAAGUGAGAAAGGUUGAGAUUGUGGUGAGGAGGAAGAGAGAAUCGAGGAAGUGGGUGG